UAUAUUUCAGGGGUGUCCAGCAUGUCUAGUCAGGUUGACAGAAGUGAAAGAUGUCUGAUGGUACAGUGAUGUACAAAUGAUACUCUUUAACAAGUUUAACAUGUCAAAGUGUAAAAUGUUCUGUGGAUUCAUAUGAUGAGAAUGCCAAUGUUGAUCUGUAUGACUUAAUUAAACACAGAUAUUUAUACCUUCAGAUAUAUACCUGUGAAAUCUUCAGUGUCACCGUUCAGCUAUUGUUCAAGAUCAGUGUCUGCAGCUUGCACAGUUUAGUAUAGAGGAGCCUUCUGAAUCAAUUUUGUUACAUAUUUUGCUGUUAUUGUAGGACGCAUAUGUAGAGAGCAACAAGUCCUGUCCAACUGUGCAUGUAAAUGUGAUUCAGAAACUUUGAGAAUAUGUAAACAUUACACUGUUAUAAUUUUCAAAAUACUGUGUCUUGUAGUGUAUCAGUACUGUUUUGUCUCAGUUUAUAGCACAGUAUGUCCACAAAUCAAACUUAAGAUCAUAGUUAUCAGUAUUAUUAAAAUCAUUAAUUAUUUGUAUGGUGACAAAAUUUAAUUUCAUGCAAUACCACAGUAAAACGUUUGAUAAUUUUCGUUUUUAAAGUUGUAAGUUUAAAGUUGGCAUAAAUUGAUUUUCUCCUUCAUUAAUCUAAAAAGCGAUUGGUCAUUAUAAUUGCAAUAUCAUUUUAGUGUGACAAAGUUUAUAUUGAACUAAAACGCUAAUGUAAAUUUUUGAACUAUUCAAUGCAUUUUCUUCAGUCUUAAAACAUUUGUUUAUCGUACAUGUCAUUAUCCAUAACUCCUCCAUAUUACUUGUGUAGGAUAGGUAGAGGUAUUGCACAUCCAUUUUUUAGCAUCCUGAUUUUGUAAAGUGUUGUAUGUAAGGUUUUAUCUUGGAAUAAUGUCUCAUCUAAAGGUGGGGAGAGGUAUUGUUUAUGCCUUCUCGUCUAUCCGCAUUAAGCCUGUCUGGCUUUAAGAGGACAAGUUGCUGGCCAGAUUUUGAUAAAACUUCAUAGGAAUGAUCAGUACCAAGCAUAGUG